GAUGAACGCUGGCGGCGUGCCUAAUACAUGCCAGUCGAGCGAACAGACGAGGAGCUUGCUCCUCUGACGUUAGCGGCGGACGGGUGAGUAACACGUGGAUAACCUACCUAUAAGACUGGGAUAACUUCGGGAAACCGGAGCUAAUACCGGAUAAUAUAUUGAACCGCAUGGUUCAAUAGUGAAAGACGGUUUUGCUGUCACUUAUAGAUGGAUCCGCGCCGCAUUAGCUAGUUGGUAAGGUAACGGCUUACCAAGGCAACGAUGCGUAGCCGACCUGAGAGGGUGAUCGGCCACACUGGAACUGAGACACGGUCCAGACUCCUACGGGAGGCAGCAGUAGGGAAUGUUCCGCAAUGGGCGAAAGCCUGACGGAGCAACGCCGCGUGAGUGAUGAAGGUCUUCGGAUCGUAAAACUCUGUUAUUAGGGAAGAACAAAUGUGUAAGUAACUAUGCACGUCUUGACGGUACCUAAUCAGAAAGCCACGGCUAACUACGUG
rnacentral:rRNA from 1 species